UUAGCGCGGAAGAAGGGCUAAACGCAAGUUUGGCUUUGACGGUACGNGCAGAGAAAGCGACGACUAACUAUGUGCCAGCAGUCGCGGUAAGACAUAGGUCGCAAACGUUAUCCGGAAUUAUUGGGCGUAAAGGAUGCGUAGAUGGCUGAUAAGUUAUCAGUGGAAAAUCGGGGCUCAACCCUGUGGAAGCUGGUAAUACUGUCUGGCUUGAAUACAGGAGAGGUUAACGGAACUCCAUGUGGAGCGGUAAAAUGCGUAGAUAUAUGGAAGAACACCGAUAUGGCGAAGGCAGUUAACUAUUCUGUUAUUGACAUUGAGGCAUGAAAGCGUGGGGAGCAAAACGGAUUAGAUACCCGUGUAGUCCACGCCCUAAACGAUGAGUGCUAGAUAUUGGGAACUUGAUUCCCAGUGUCGCUAGUUAACACAGUAAGCACUCCGCCUGGGCAGUACGCUCGCAAGAGUGAAACUCAAAGGAAUUGACGGGGACUCGCACAAGCAGUGGAGCAUGUGGUUUAAUCCGAUACGACGCGUAGAACCUUACCAAGGCUUGACAUGUCCGGCAAAGUUAAUGAAAGUUAAUGGAGGUUAUCCGGUCACAGGUGCUGCAUGGCCAUCGUCAGUUCGUGCCGUGAGGUGUAUGGUUAAGUCCUAUAACGAACGCAACCCUUGUGCUUAGUUGCCAGCAUUCAGUUGGGGAAUCUAAGCAGACUGCCAGAGUAAUCUGGAGGAAGGAAAGGACGACGUUUGGUCGUCAUGGCCCUUAUGCCUUGGGCGACACACGUGCUACAAUGGUUAGGACAAUGGGUUGCCAACCCGCGAGGGGGAGCUAAUCUCAAAAAACUAACCUCAGUUCGGAUUGGAGGCUGCAACUCGCCUCCAUGAAGUCGGAAUUGCUAGUAAUCGCAAAUCAGCCAUGUUGCGGUGAAUACGUUCUCGAGUCUUGUACACACCGCCCGUCAAAUCACGAAAGUCGGUAAUACCUGAAACUGACUGAUUAACCCGCAAGGGAUACAGUGACAAGGGUAGGAUUG
rnacentral:rRNA from 1 species